ACUCCUACGGGAGGCAGCAGUGGGGAAUAUUGCACAAUGGGGGAAACCCUGAUGCAGCCAUGCCGCGUGUGUGAAGAAGGCCUUCGGGUUGUAAAGCACUUUCAGUAGGGAGGAAGGUAGUGUAGUUAACACCUGCACUAUUUGUACGUUACCUACAGAAGAAGCACCGGCUAACUCCGUGCCAGCAGCCGCGGUAAUACGGAGGGUGCGAGCGUUAAUCGGAAUUACUGGGCGUAAAGCGCAUGCAGGCGGCCUGUUAAGUCAGAUGUGAAAGCCCGGGGCUUAACCUCGGAAUUGCAUUUGAAACUGGCAGGCUAGAGUCUUGUAGAGGGGUUAGAAUUUCAGGUGUAGCGGUGAAAUGCGUAGAGAUCUGAAGGAAUACCAGUGGCGAA
rnacentral:rRNA from 1 species